UUGUGGAGGAGGACGCCGAAGGUGGGGCUAAUGACUGGGGUGAAGUCGUAACAAGGUAGCCGUACCGGAAGGUGCGGCUGGAUCACCUCCUAACAGGGAGACAACAAAAUGUUAAAUAUUAAUUUUGUCACCUUAGGUCGAUCGGUAUCUCACAUUCUUAAUUUAUUUAAGAAUUUUAUUUCCUAAGUUUUUCUAGGUCACACCCAUUAUUUUUCCUGGGCCUUUAGCUCAGGUGGUUAGAGCGCACCCCUGAUAAGGGUGAGGUCCCUGGUUCAAGUCCAGGAUGGCCCAUAUCUCUAUGUUGGGGGUAUAGCUCAGUUGGUAGAGCGCCUGCUUUGCAAGCAGGAUGUCAGCGGUUCGAGUCCGCUUACCUCCACUGAUUACCACCUCUUCCAUAAUUUUAAAGAAGGAAAAUUUUGAGUUGUGAUUUAAUUCUGAACGAAUCUAGCUUCCUAAUUAAACUUAUUAAGAUGCUGGACUCAUUGAAUUUUUUUUCAUUGUUUUCAGAGAACCUUGACAACUGCAUAGAUUAUUUUUAAAGACAAUAAGCAUCUUUAAUGAUGCAGAUUUUUUAUUUGUGCGAAUGCAUUAAUAACAAUUCUAUUAAGCUGAUGCUUCAAUUUUGAAGUUAUUGGUCAAGCUACAA
rnacentral:misc_RNA from 1 species